UGUCCAUAUAUUUUAUUUAUCUAGGAUCGGGCUAAAUGGUUUCAGUAAUCCACUACGAGACAGUAAUAUUGAACAGGUGAAGGGAGAACUUGGACCCGGAUGCAAACUCAAAAUGGACGAAGGAGGAAAUAUUUUAAUCAAAAGAUUAGACAAUAAUGGAGUAUAUGUGAAAAAUACCGCUGAAGAAACGGCUGUAAGUAAUGAUAUACUUAAACUACCCUCAGGGCUACUAGAGAAAGACAGACCUCUAAAACUGU